rnacentral:rRNA from 1 species
GUGUCAGCAGCCGCGGUAAUACAGAGGGUGCAAACGUUGUUCGGAAUUACUGGGCAUAAAGCGCACGUAGGCGGCCUGAGAAGUGCGGGGUGAAAUCCCACGGCUUACCCGUGGAACUGCUUUGCAUACUGCCAGGCUGGAGGACGGUAGAGGAGAGCGGAACUCUUGGUGGAGCGGUGAAAUGCGUAGAUAUCAAGAGGAACACCGAAGGCGAAGGCAGCUCUCUGGUCCGUUUCUGACGCUGAGGUGCGAAAGCCAGGGUAGCGAACGGGAUUAGAUACCCUGGUAGUCC